AGAAAAAAGCAAUGCAUUUUACAAGAUCCGCUCAUUACCAUUCGAAAACCCAUAAGCACAUAUAGUGAAUUCGAACAGUGAAUUAUAUUGAAACAUUGAUUUCUAAAACAAAUUGAAUUAAGGCUUAUAGCUAGUAAAACUUAAGUCUAAAUACAUAGCUAAAAUUAUAUAGGCAUAACAUUCUAUUCCACGUGUGAAUGCUUAUAAAAAAAGGUUAGAGUCGUGCGCUGUUCCAUCCAUGCAACCGAUUUUUCAAAAGCUACAUUACAACUAAAACGUCUUUUGUAAUUUGCUCGACGAAAUCGAACAAAGGAUCGCGCCUAACCUAACUACCGCAACUUUUUUUUUGAAAAAUCGACCGCAGUUGACCUCGCCGGUAUGAAUCAAACUCCAAAGAAAGUGAUUCCAGAGAAGCCCUGCGGCUAUACAUUGCAAGACACACAAACGCUCGACGAGAAU